CACCAGCCACGGCUGCCUGGCUCCCCCCGUCUUCGUGGAAGAGAGCAAAGGCAGAUAAGAUGUGACAGGAUGAUAACAACACACUGCCUGGGAAGCCAGGCGGGUUCUUCACUGCUCGGUAUGGAAGACCGGAGCUCACCGGAGAUAGUCGGAAGGAGUGCAUCCAAACCCCAACUGAACCGCUUCUUCUGUGAAAUCAGAAUGAUUCAAAGAAUCGCUGGAAAUUGCACUCCACCUACUUGCUCCCACGCAUUUUGUUUUUAGAAGUCUCUGUGUCUCUGUCAGGCUUGGGCUGUGGAUGUUUGUGCUUCCUCGAUGCAAGGAUGAUGUGGGACGAGUCAGGCAUGAAUAAACACCUGAAAGUUGGUGUGACAAACGCAAUUCGUCGUCUUGCGGGUUCCAGGGACCACCAAGGAAGGACAUGGCUUUGAGCAGGGCACCUUGUGGCGACCCAUCAGCGUUCCUCUUCUGUACACUGUUUGUUCGUCUAAUCUUGACUUGAGCAAGUCAGCGCCCAGACAGAGCAGCAUUAGCACAGCUGUGUUUGUUUGGUCAUAAUGGCAAUUUGUGAGCAAUCAGGACAACACUGUUGAAUUUCACUGGAUUGUGUUAAUGCUACCUAAUAAAGUAGUGUUAAUAUUG